CCAUAAAAAAGCACGCGAGCUGAAGGAGCGUCCUAUAAAAUAAAUAGCGUACAAACAUAUACAAACACACACAUGUCUAUGUACCUGUUGUAUAAUAUUAUUCUUUAUGUUAUCGCGCCAUAACUUUUGUCGAGUUUCCUUUUAGUUCCUUUAAGUCAUGAAUAUUCUUGAAAAUCGCCCCGUAAACACUUUGCUGUCGUAAGGUAUGAUGAACCCUCAUCACAAAAAAAGGGGAAAUGUUUAUUUAUAUUUUC
rnacentral:ribozyme from 12 species